rnacentral:rRNA from 1 species
AGUGGGGAAUCUUGCACAAUGGAGGAAACUCUGAUGCAGCGAUGCCGCGUGAGUGAAGAAGGCCUUUGGGUUGUAAAGCUCUUUUGUAGGGGAAGAUAAUGACUGUACCCUAAGAAUAAGGUCCGGCUAACUUCGUGCCAGCAGCCGCGGUAAUACGAAGGGACCUAGCGUAGUUCGGAAUUACUGGGCGUAAAGCGCGCGUAGGCCGUUGAGUUAGUUAAUUGUGAAAUCCCAAAGCUUAACUUUGGAACUGCAAUUAAAACUGCUCGACUAGAGUUUGAUAGAGGAAAGCGGAAUACAUAGUGUAGAGGUGAAAUUCGUAGAUAUUAUGUAGAACACCAGUUGCGAAGGCGGCUUUCUGGAUCAACACUGACGCUGAGGCGCGAAAGUAUGGGUAGCAAGAGACGGAUUAGAUACCC